GGAAUUGCUGCAUCCGGUAUGGAAGGGGUUAACCAGGAUUCCAUGAAACGAAGGAGACACGUGGUCCUAAUGUCCCUCUGUUUCAACAACACAGUUCUGAGAUCAUCAGAAAAAGCCUUAUGCCAAAGUGAAAACAGAUCUCUACGAAGUACAGGAUUCCCCAAAGAUUUAUUUGCAGCAUCCAGGCAAGCAAAGUGAGCAAGAAGCAGGGACGCUGAUUCCAUCGCUGAUAACAAUAAGAUUUUGCAGAAAACACCACAGAGAUUGGCCUGAUCAGGGGGGAUGAUGAGACGGACUACAGGGAUGAUGACCAGCACCUGGCCGUGUGGUGUGCUGACAACAACCUGGCCUUCAACACCCAGAGGACCAAAGAGAUCACUGUGGACUUCAAGCAUGUCCCCAUCACUUCCCCAUCUACAUCAACUGAGCUGUAGUGGAGCGUGUAUAAAGCUUCAAAUUCUUUGAUGUGCACAUUUUCGAGGAUCUCAAUGUUCCCAAAGGAGCGGAGAGCUCACCUAUGACAGAGUUUGUCGGAAAGUUACUGCGGGACAUGCUGGAUUUUCACCCCGCUAUGGAGCUGGAGGUCGAGAGAACCCACCGCGCGUUAGUUCCGAAACCUACCCAGGACAGUGUUACGAAUGUGCCACAACUCUGAGGGGCUGAAGGGUACAAAGUCGCCCCUCCUUUUUGAGAAUCGCAAGAUCGCUAUUAAUUCGGGUCUGAGACCCAGGAAAUGAGAGACAAUCCACAAGGUUUGGAAUGUGUCCUGGCCUCAGCAGAACAAAACAAUUGAUAAUGGCUAUUGUCUCUUGGAGAAUAAAUCGUGCAUUGAGUCCUGUACUAUUCAUUGAAGCCCCUCAGGGGAUGACCAGAGUGGGCUGGUUGAGGGAUUGCAUCAUCCCAACCUGAUUGACAUCUGAGACCCCGUGAGUAAGGAUAAAAGAGGGUCUGGGGAACAAUCGCUUUAGAUGCACCAGGAGAAACGCUGGAAAUCCAGUGACAGCAUUUAAUAGCGACAGCCGGUGGGGCUCGUGUGGGUCCUUCCCUUGCCUGCGAUUGCCGGGCUCACCACGGAAGAACGGCUUAGCUAAAGGAGAGGCCACAAGUGAGCGGCCACACCAACAGGACUCCUGACGGAUCAAAAUUAUAAAAGUAAAGCCGGCAAGUUCCUCAAAAUCUCUCUCUCUCUCUCCAACCAUUGUCACACAGCGGUCCCCAAAGGCUGCAGCCUGCAUGAACUGAGUGAACUUUAUAUUUCCAUUGUACAAUACAUUAUCCCCUAGACACUGA